GCACUUGUGGUCUAGUUGUAAAAUAGUACCCUGCCACGGUACAGACCAGGGUUCGAUUCCUGGCUGGUGCA
rnacentral:tRNA from 1 species